rnacentral:tRNA from 1 species
GUGGUUGUGAUGAAAUGGCUAACAUGUUGCACUGUGAAUGCAAUACGUGUCGGGUUCGAUUCCCACCAACCACC